UGCUAGACGAGUUUGAUCCUGGCUCAGAACGAACGCUGGCGGCAGGCCUAACACAUGCAAGUCGAGCGAGGUAGCAAUACCUAGCGGCGGACGGGUUAGUAACGCGUGGGAACGUGCCCAAAGGUACGGAAUAGCCUCGGGAAACUGAGAGUAAUACCGUAUGUGCCCUUCGGGGGAAAGAUUUAUCGCCUUUGGAUCGGCCCGCGUUGGAUUAGGUAGUUGGUGGGGUAAUGGCCUACCAAGCCGACGAUCCAUAGCUGGUUUGAGAGGAUGAUCAGCAACACUGGGACUGAGACACGGCCCAGACUCCUACGGGAGGCAGCAGUGGGGAAUCUUAGACAAUGGGGGAAACCCUGAUCUAGCCAUGCCGCGUGAGCGAUGAAGGCCUUAGGGUUGUAAAGCUCUUUCAGCUGGGAAGAUAAUGACGGUACCAGCAGAAGAAGCCCCGGCUAACUCCGUG
rnacentral:rRNA from 1 species